CUCAGACCUAUAUCUGAGACUGACUUUUUAUAUAGCGCCAAACACUUAAUGGAACACUAUAGUCACCAGAAAAAAAACAGCUUAUUGUAUUUGUUCUGGUGAGUAGAAUGAUUCCCUUGAGGCUUUUUGCAAUAAACACUGUCUUUUGAGAGAAAUUGCAGUGUAGGGGCAGCUCCACUGGCAACUAUUCAGAUGGCUGCUAGAGGUGCUUCCUGGGGCAGUGCUGCAAAGUGUGACUGCCAUUCAGUGUCUUCACACUCCGCAUGCAGACACUGAACUUUACUCAUAGUGAUGCAUUGAUUGAAUUGGCUAGGACUGUGUUUAACUUGUGCUGGCUCUGCAACUGACCUGCCUCCUUGACAGUCUCAGCCAAUUCUAUGGGGAAGCAUUGUGAUUGGCUCAGACCACCACUUCUGAUGAUGUCAGAAGGAAGCAGGCAGUUCAGAGGCAGAAGUAGCAGCUGCAGACUUGAAUACAAGUAAAAUUUUUCAAUAUUUAUGUAGGCAAGGAGUAAUCAUUCCUCAAACAUGUUCCAUUCUAGAAAUAUGCUGUAUUGAGAUAAAUAAUGAGUUCUGAGUUUUUAAUCAGACGAACUGGAUAACUGAAAUAGGUAUUUAACGAAGAUAUGAAAUGUCUGUAAAUCAAAAUGCAUUCGGCAUUGACUUCCUAUUUCAGUACCAAAUAGCUGAACUGGAAACUUACUUUUACUAAGUCUGAUAAAAAUAAAAACUACCAAUACCAUGCAAAGCACAGUUAACCUCAAUGCGCUAACUGUGACUUGAACCCAGGUCACAAGAAUGGGAAUCUUGCACGAUACCCCUACACUACUAGCGCAAGCUUCAUAUGGGUAGUCUAACUGUCAAGAUGCACUCUUUGAGCAUUGCUCUAACACGUUCUGUUGUAAAAAUAUACUACAC